rnacentral:rRNA from 2 species
AGGCCGUGGCGGCAUGCCUAUACAUGCAAGUCGAACGAGCUUCCGUUGAAUGACGUGCUUGCACUGAUUUCAACAAUGAAGCGAGUGGCGAACUGGUGAGUAACACGUGGGGAAUCUGCCCAGAAGCAGGGGAUAACACUUGGAAACAGGUGCUAAUACCGUAUAACAACAAAAUCCGCAUGGAUUUUGUUUGAAAGGUGGCUUCGGCUAUCACUUCUGGAUGAUCCCGCGGCGUAUUAGUUAGUUGGUGAGGUAAAGGCCCACCAAGACGAUGAUACGUAGCCGACCUGAGAGGGUAAUCGGCCACAUUGGGACUGAGACACGGCCCAAACUCCUACGGGAGGCAGCAGUAGGGAAUCUUCCACAAUGGACGAAAGUCUGAUGGAGCAAUGCCGCGUGAGUGAAGAAGGGUUUCGGCUCGUAAAACUCUGUUGUUAAAGAAGAACACCUUUGAGAGUAACUGUUCAAGGGUUGACGGUAUUUAACCAGAAAGCCACGGCUAACUACGUGCCAGCAGCCGCGGUAAUACGUAGGUGGCAAGCGUUGUCCGGAUUUAUUGGGCGUAAAGCGAGCGCAGGCGGUUUUUUAAGUCUGAUGUGAAAGCCUUCGGCUUAACCGGAGAAGUGCAUCGGAAACUGGGAGACUUGAGUGCAGAAGAGGACAGUGGAACUCCAUGUGUAGCGGUGGAAUGCGUAGAUAUAUGGAAGAACACCAGUGGCGAAGGCGGCUGUCUAGUCUGUAACUGACGCUGAGACUCGAAAGCAUGGGUAGCGAACAGGAUUAGAUACCCUGGUAGUCCAUGCCGUAAACGAUGAGUGCUAAGUGUUGGAGGGUUUCCGCCCUUCAGUGCUGCAGCUAACGCAUUAAGCACUCCGCCUGGGGAGUACGACCGCAAGGUUGAAACUCAAAGGAAUUGACGGGGGCCCGCACAAGCGGUGGAGCAUGUGGUUUAAUUCGAAGCUACGCGAAGAACCUUACCAGGUCUUGACAUCUUCUGCCAAUCUUAGAGAUAAGACGUUCCCUUCGGGGACAGAAUGACAGGUGGUGCAUGGUUGUCGUCAGCUCGUGUCGUGAG